UUUCGGCCUUGUGUUUUUUUGUGGAAGUCCUUAUUGACUAUGACAUGUUUGGUUUUUAACUUGGCGGUGUUUAGUUUCAUUUUCUUGAUUAUUUUACUUUCGAAUCCCUCCAACUUGAAGCGUAAUAGCAGAAAUAACAUUGCUGCAAAAUUAAUUUUGCGUUGAAACUUCUCAGGUUAAAUCUAUAACUCAGAUAACUUUUACUCAGAAAAGUAGAAAGCCAAUAAGGGUAACUAUUCAUCGUCAUCUGAGAAGUCGAAACGUGCGUUGAUCGACAGUUGAUUCUCUGCUAACCACAAUAUAAACUUACGAAGCUCAUUAAAUUUCCUUCUAUUUUGAAGCAGUUGAGCUCAACGGACGAGAAAACCGGUUACAAACUAUACUAACCAAUCGAUACCACCAUCUAUUCUGAUUUUCAUACAGCCCGCAACGAGACUUCGUAUAUAUAUAUAAUUCAAUCGAAAACAAGUUAAUCAAAAUGGGAGCACUUUGUAAAGUCAACUUCACCUGUAUCGUCCUAUGUUGUGUCAUUGGGUUGAUUCUAAGCGAAGUCUUGGCUCGACAAGACGACGAUAGUGGCGAGUUCUUCACGCCGAGGAGACUUCGACUGAACCCGGGCAGAUUUGGAGCGAGGCGAUCGAGGUGUGGGAGACCUGGAUGCUUCAACGCCUGUCUGGGUAAAACGAGUGACCCGAAAAACCCCUUGUUUGUCAUGUACUGCAGCGAACAGUGUUGCUAGCUGCCAUUAUUGUUAUACUCCAAUGAUGCCGAUUAAUUUAAUUCAAUUAAUUUUAAGCAAUUAAUAUCGAGAGUCUAUUAUCUAUCACAGGUCAGUUUUGCAGUUUGCAUACUGAUGAUCUGUUGAUUUAAUCCAUCUUUCCUGUGAAUAAAUUAAAAGUUUUCACCCGU